rnacentral:rRNA from 1 species
GACGAACGCUGGCGGCGUGCUUAACACAUGCAAGUCGAACGGAAAGGCCCUGCUUUUGUUGGGUGCUCGAGUGGCGAACGGGUGAGUAACACGUGAGUAACAUGCCCUUGACUUUGGGAUAACUUCAGGAAACUGGGGCUAAUACCGGAUAGGAGCUCCUGCUGCAUGGGGGGGGUUGGAAAGUUUCGGCGGUUGGGGAUGGACUCGCGGCUUAUCAGCCUGUUGGUGGGGUAGUGGCUUACCAAGGCUUUGACGGGUAGCCGGCCUGAGAGGGUGACCGGCCACAUUGGGACUGCGAUACGGCCCAGACUCCUACGGGAGGCAGCAGUGGGGAAUAUUGCACAAUGGGCGGAAGCCUGAUGCAGCAACGCCGCGUGCGGGAUGACGGCCUUCGGGUUGUAAACCGCUUUCGCCUGUGACGAAGCGUGAGUGACGGUAAUGGGUAAAGAAGCACCGGCUAACUACGUG